ACACGACUGAAGCGACUUAGCAGCAGCAGCAGAGACACUUUUGAUUGUCACAACCAGCUGUGCUACUAUCUUCUGAUAGGGACGUUUGAGGGCAGGUGAUGAGAUAAGUCACUCGGCUCCUCUGGGUGAGGCAGUUUAACCAUCACUAGCUCCAACCAUACCAGGAGCCCGCCCAUCAAGAGGAAGGACGUGAGCAAGCUUGAAAUCAGACAUUUGGGGAGGAUCUGCUCUACUGUUCAGGAACUCUGUGGCUUUGGCCGGGACCUCAGAUCUUCCAUUUCUUUUUCCAUCUGUACAAUGGGAAUAAUAACAUCUAAUUCCCAGGUAGCCAUUACUUUUGAGAAAAUUAUUCUUUCACUUUGCCAGCUGUGGUGGAGCAUUAUAUUUGUGGCCCCCCAGUGAACCAUGGCUUCCUGUAAUCAGCCCUGGUGCAGUCCCCUAGCAGGCUGACUUCUGGAUCUGUCUCCGUAUGAGUUGAUUUGGCUGAUGGAACAGUAAUAAGCAUGAUUGGAAGGACUGA